rnacentral:lncRNA from 1 species
GAAAGGAGAGAGGGGGGUCAGUUAAAAGAAACAAGUUGGGCAAUUUAUAUUUAGUGUUUAUGCAAACAAAUGUUUAAAACCAUCUUGAACUUUGGCAGCUUUUUUUUUUUGGUGGCUUUUCUAUUCUUUGGAUGUUUUUAUUUAAUUAUACAAUAAUAAUCUCAGAAGUUCAUGGUUUCAAUUUAUCUGAUUAAAAAAAAAGCUAGGCAUUACCCCUCAUAGUAUUUAAUUAAACAUUUUUAUCAAUCACACUGAAUAAAUAUACAGUCACAAGUACCACUGGUUGGUAUUUAAAAAACUGGCAUAUAUUAAAGCCCCAGUUUGGGUAUGCAACACAUUAGCUUCGGUUAGCAAACAUAGCAAUUGUUUUUCCUAAGAAAAUUGUUUCUUUUAAUUAAAGCAUUUGCUCUUCUCUUAGCACUCUACAAUGUGUGACGCAAAAUAAACAUAAAAUAGUUACUGCAGAUUUUUCCUUCAGCUUUCUCAGUCCAGAUUUAGAAUAAAUUGAUUCAGAAUAAUUUCUUUAGGGCUUAUUUACUUGGAAUGGGAGAAAAAUAUACUACUGGCAAUUUUGGUAAUCAGAAAAACUACUUUAUCAAUAAAUCAUAAUAUCUAUCCUAAGAAAACCCCUAUAGAAAACAUGAUGAGAUAUUAAGAAGUGGGAGAAGACAUCUCCAGCUAUAUAUGGAAUGCCUGUUGAAAAAAUUUAGUCACAUGGGAACAUGAUUGUUUCAAACAUUGAAGAUCUGAUAGAAACAAAGAAUAUGGAUCUUGAACCUAAGACCCACUUUUUAAACAUGAGUAUUGGAUGAAAGAAUGUUCAUGCAGUAUGGCUGAACCAUCAAAGAAAGUGUGAUUCUGCUGGAUUUUCUCUUCAAGUAAUAUUAGAGAUUUUAGGAGUCCUAGGAAUCAAUUCCUCUUACAGAACUACUUCCAAUGGAAAGUAAGUAUAGAAUUGCCGGUCUACACAUUCACCUGUGUGACUAAAGCUUUUAAAGAAAAAUAAUAAAUGAAACCAUUUUAUGUGCCACCAAAUACUGGUAUCACUUUUUUUUAAACAAGUCUUUAGAAUUUACUGGGUUUUUUUUA